CCUGGUGACUUAGAUGGUAAAGAAUCUGCCUGCAAUGCAGGAGACCCAGGUUCAAUCCCUGGGUCAGGA
rnacentral:tRNA from 1 species